ACGAACGCUGGCGGCGUGCCUAAUACAUGCAAGUCGAGCGGACUGAAUGGGAGCUUGCUCUUGUUCGGUCAGCGGCGGACGGGUGAGUAACACGUGGGCAACCUGCCCGCAAGACCGGGAUAACUCCGGGAAACCGGAGCUAAUACCGGAUAACACCGAAGACCGCAUGGUCUUUGGUUGAAAGGCGGCGCAAGCUGCCACUUGCGGAUGGGCCCGCGGCGCAUUAGCUAGUUGGUGAGGUAACGGCUCACCAAGGCGACGAUGCGUAGCCGGCCUGAGAGGGUGACCGGCCACACUGGGACUGAGACACGGCCCAGACUCCUACGGGAGGCAGCAGUAGGGAAUCUUCCGCAAGGGGCGAAAGCCUGACGGAGCGACGCCGCGUGAGCGAAGAAGGCCUUCGGGUCGUAAAGCUCUGUUGUGAGGGACGAAGGAGCGCCGUUUGAAGAAGGCGGCGCGGUGACGGUACCUCACGAGGAAGCCCCGGCUAACUACGUG
rnacentral:rRNA from 1 species